rnacentral:rRNA from 1 species
GCAGUGUGUGAUGCUUGUCAGCAGGGGAAGAGUCAUCAACUUCCUUUUUCGGAGUCCAGUCGUGAGGUGAAACAUCCUUUAGAACUUGUGUUUUCAGAUGUAUGGGGUCCUGCUCAGACUUCUGUCAGUGGUCAUAAUUACUAUAUCAGUUUCGUUGAUGCUUAUAGUCGCUUUACCUGGCUUUACCUUAUUAAACGCAAAUCUGAUGUGUUUGAUAUUUUUGUUCAGUUUCAAAAACAUGUUGAACGUCUUCUUAAGCACAAAAUUGUUCAUGUCCAGUCAGACUGGGGGGCGAGUAUCGCAACCUCAACUCUUUCUUUCAGUCGCUUGGGAUAG